UACAGAGGUCUCAAGCGUUGUUCGGAUUCAUUGGGCGUAAAGGGUGCGUAGGCGGCGCGGUAAGUCGGGUGUGAAAUCGUCGGGCUUAACUCCGAAACUGCAUUCGAUACUGCCGUGCUUGAGGACUGGAGAGGAGACUGGAAUUUACGGUGUAGCGGUGAAAUGCGUAGAUAUCGUAAGGAAGACCAGUGGCGAAGGCGGGUCUCUGGACAGUUCCUGACGCUGAGGCACGAAGGCCCAGGGGAGCAAACGGG
rnacentral:rRNA from 1 species